rnacentral:rRNA from 1 species
UACGAAGGGGGCUAGCGUUGCUCGGAAUCACUGGGCGUAAAGGGCGCGUAGGCGGCGUUUUAAGUCGGGGGUGAAAGCCUGUGGCUCAACCACAGAAUGGCCUUCGAUACUGGGACGCUUGAGUAUGGUAGAGGUUGGUGGAACUGCGAGUGUAGAGGUGAAAUUCGUAGAUAUUGGGAGGAACACCGGUGGCGAAGGCGGCUCCCUGGUCCGAUACUGACGCUCAUGUGCGAAAGCGUGGGGAGCAAACAGG